AAUACGGGGGGAGCAAGCGUUGUUCGGAUUUACUGGGCGUAAAGGGCGCGUAGGCGGCCACCGCAAGUCGACUGUGAAAUCUCCGGGCUUAACCCGGGAAGGUCAGCCGAUACUGCGGGGCUAGAGUGCAGAAGGGGCAACUGGAAUUCUCGGUGUAGCGGUGAAAUGCGUAGAUAUCGAGAGGAACACCUGCGGCGAAGGCGGGUUGCUGGGCUGACACUGACGCUGAGGCGCGAAAGCUAGGGGAGCGAACGGGA
rnacentral:rRNA from 1 species